GAUGAACGCUGGCGGCGUGCCUAAUACAUGCAAGUCGAGCGAACGGACGAGAAGCUUGCUUCUCUGAUGUUAGCGGCGGACGGGUGAGUAACACGUGGAUAACCUACCUAUAAGACUGGGAUAACUUCGGGAAACCGGAGCUAAUACCGGAUGAUAUUUUGAACCGCAUGGUUCAAAAGUGAAAGACGGUCUUGCUGUCACCUAUAGAUGUAUCCGCGCUGCAUUAGCUAGUUGGUAAGGUAACGGCUUACCAAGGCAACGAUGCAUAGCCGACCUGAGAGGGUGAUCGGCCACACUGGAACUGAGACACGGUCCAGACUCCUACGGGAGGCAGCAGUAGGGAAUCUUCCGCAAUGGGCGAAAGCCUGACGGAGCAACGCCGCGUGAGUGAUGAAGGUCUUCGGAUCGUAAAACUCUGUUAUUAGGGAAGAACAUAUGUGUAAGUAACUGUGCACAUCUUGACGGUACCUAAUCAGAAAGCCACGGCUAACUACGUG
rnacentral:rRNA from 1 species